rnacentral:rRNA from 1 species
CCUACGUGUGGCAGCAGUGGGGAAUAUUGCACAAUGGGGGGCACCCUGAUGCAGCAACGCCGCGUGGGUGAAUAAUUACUCCGGUAUGUAAAGCCCUGUCAGCAGGGAAGACAAUGACGGUACCUGACCAAGAAGCCCCGGCUAACUACGUGCCAGCAGCCGCGGUAAGACGGAGGUGGCAAGCGUUAUCCGGAUUUCCUGGGUGUAAAGGGAGCGUAGACGGCAAGGCAAGUCUGGAGUGAAAGCCCGUGGCCCAACCACGGGACUGCGGUGGAAACUGUGUUGCUGGAGUGCAGGAGGGGUAAGCGGAAUUCCUAGUGGAGCGGUGAAAUGCGUAGAUAUUAGGAGGAACACCGGUGGCGAAGGCGGCUUACUGGACUGUAACUGACGGUGAGGCUCGAAGGCGUGGGGAGCAAACAGGAUUAGAUACCCGUGUAGUC